rnacentral:rRNA from 1 species
UACGAAGGGGGCUAGCGUUGCUCGGAAUCACUGGGCGUAAAGCGCACGUAGGCGGAUCUUUAAGUCAGGGGUGAAAUCCCAAGGCUCAACCUUGGAACUGCCUUUGAUACUGGGGAUCUCGAGUCCGGAAGAGGUGAGUGGAACUGCGAGUGUAGAGGUGAAAUUCGUAGAUAUUCGGAGGAACACCAGUGGCGAAGGCGGCUCACUGGUCCAUUACUGACGCUGAGGUGCGAAAGCGUGGGGAGCAAACAGG